GGCCCUAUAGUCUAGUGGUUAGGACAUGGGAUUUUGACAUUUCUUGCUUCUGCUCGAAUUCCCGGAGCCCCGGUUCGAACCCGGGUAGGACCU